CGUAAGAUGGCUGCCACCCAGCGCGAGCUCUUCGUUUUUGAGGCGGUGUGGGGACUCUACCGAGGCGAACCGAGCGGGUCUCUUGUGGCUCUGCUCCCCCAGCCUGUGAGCAGCGCCCCGCGACCUUUGCUGAGCCCAGCGCUGCCCAGAACGCGUUCCCCUCUGACCCUGGUCUCGGCAGAGUUGGUGAGAUCUGUUAUCUUGAGAGAAUGCAUUCCAAACUCUCCUGCCCAUUCAUUCCGUAAACUCCGCAGUCCCGGCCCCUUAGAAGAAGGAACUCACAGAGUAGGUGGAGAAUUAUGGAAAACAUCUUUACUGCAGGGGCUGGUGGGCUGGCAGAGGAGGUGGAGGACAGAGUUCUUCAUGCUGCUUCUGUUCCUUUUGGAGACAUCGCAGAUACUUAGUUUCUUCCGGUGAAACAGUGCGGGCAGUGAUGACUGCCCGAAGAAGUUUUCUGGGAAGACUCUCGAAGAGAAUAAAGAGGAAGAAGGGUCGGAGCCUGCCAGAGGGGCAGCCCAGGAGGGGGAGCCCAUGGCAAAAAAGGCCCGCUCAAACCCUCAGGAGUACAUGGACACCAAGACUGGGAACAAGCCAGCCGGCCGCAUCCAGAUGCUGCUGCGUUCGGACGUUGUCCCCGUGACGGCAGGUGAGCGGGACUCGGGCGGGACGCUGGAGGCCAAGCAGGCUGGGGAGGAAGCUGCCUGGAAUUGGAGACUUUAGCACUUUUUAUCUGAGCCCUUCCGAGGCAUCCGGUACCCCAGCAUCUCAUCACAUGAGCCUGAGCACACAGUUUUGGGAACAUUAGAAAGAAUAGGCAGUUGAAACUCAUAAAUUGUAUUUUUUUUUUUUGUAGUUUUGUUUUGAUAUAUUUGCAGGCUUACAGAUAAGUGGAAUAAGAAUUCUGUAAGAAUAGUACAGGGAACUCAUAUAGCCUUUAUCCACUCAUUAAUUUAUUUUUGCCUCCUACUCUUUUCCAUUUAAUUCAUACACACAGAUAGAUAAACUUGCCCCCUACUCUUCAGUUGAGAGGAAGCUGAGGAUACCAUGCCUCUUGAUCCCUAAAUAGUUGAGUAUAUAUUUCCUAAGAACAAGAAUGUUCCCUUACGUGAUCACAGCGUGACCAUCAAAAUCAGGAAAUCGAGCAACUGUGCACUGUUUCUUGUCUUCAGGCCGCGCUCAGAUCUCGUCCCCUUCCCCAGUAUCGCCCUUUCUCGUAACCGUAGCGGUUGGCCUUCCCUGGCAACGACUCACGCUGCACGGCAGGGUCCAGACUCUAGUCUCCCUCUGUUUGGAGCAGGGUCUCAGUGUCUUUCUUGAUCUCGAUGACUUUGAAGAGAACAGGCCUCUUUUUUAAGACCGUUUCUCAGUGUUUGCCUGGUACUCCCCAGUGACGUCCUCUCCCCGGAACACCUCACUAGGGCAUCGCGUAAGGAUGUGCGUGAAGAUGUCACUGCUAGUAUUUGUGACGAUAACUUCGGCCGCUUGCUUAAGGAGGCGGCUGCCAACUUUCCCCACUUUGAAGCGUCCAUCUGUAGGCUUUAAAUUGAAAGCUGACAUUUUUUUCUCCUCACUGCUCCCCCCUCCCCAACCCCUCCACAUCUCUUUGAGGUAGCUGCUAUUCACUGGUGUUGUAGGUUUCCUAUUUUCUUACAUAUUCUUUUUUUUUUUUUUUUAAGAAGUUUCUUUUUUUUUUUAAG